rnacentral:rRNA from 1 species
CAGUAGCCGCGGGAAAACGUAGGGUGCAAGCGCUAAUCGGAAUUACUGGGCGUAAAGCGUGCGCAGGCGGUUCGCUAAGACAGAUGUGAAAUCCCCGGGCUUAACCUGGGAACUGCAUUUGUGACUGGCGGGCUAGAGUAUGGCAGAGGGGGGUAGAAUUCCACGUGUAGCAGUGAAAUGCGUAGAGAUGUGGAGGAAUACCGAUGGCGAAGGCAGCCCCCUGGGCCAAUACUGACGCUCAUGCACGAAAGCGUGGGGAGCAAACAGGAUUAGAUACCCGUGUAGUCCCUGUCUCUUAUAC